GACGGGGCCCGCACAAGCGGUGGAGCAUGUGGUUUAAUUCGACGCAACGCGAAGAACCUUACCUAGGCUUGACAUGCUGGAGAAAGCUUGCGGAAACGUGAGCCCUCUUCGGAGUUCCAGCACAGAUGCUGCAUGGCUGUCGUCAGCUCGUGUCGUGAGAUGUUGGGUUAACGUCCCGCAACGAGCGCAACCCUCACUCUUAGUUACCAGCGGGUAAAGCCGGGGACUCUAGGGGGACUGCCGGUGCCAAACCGGAGGAAGGUGGGGAUGACGUCAAGUCAUCAUGGCUCUUACGUCUAGGGCUACACACGUGCUACAAUGGGCCGGACAGAGGGUCGCCAACUCGCGAGAGUGAGCCAAUCCCCAAACCGGUCCUCAGUUCGGAUUGUAGUCUGCAACUCGACUACAUGAAGCUGGAAUCGCUAGUAAUCGUGGAUCAGCUACGCCACGGUGAAUACGUUCCCGGGCCUU
rnacentral:rRNA from 1 species